CCUUGAUGACGUUUCAGGGGCGCGAGCGGAGAAGGCCCCAGACCGGGAGGCGCCGCCAGCAUGAAGGAGACGCCGCUGUCCAACUGUGAGCGGCGCUUCCUGCUGCGCGCCAUCGAGGAGAGGAAGCGCUUGGACGGGCGGCAGAGCUACGACUACAGGAACGUGCGAAUCUCCUUCGGGGCCGACUACGGCUGCUGCAUCGUGGAGCUGGGGAGGACCAGAGUCCUUGGACAGGUUUCAUGUGAACUUGUUUCCCCAAAGCUAAAUCGAGCUACAGAGGGUAUACUUUUCUUUAAUCUUGAGCUCUCCCCAAUGGCCGCACCAGCUUUUGAGCCUGGCAGGCAACCUGAGCUUUUGGUGAAACUGAAUCGACUACUAGAAAGAUGCCUAAGAAACUCAAAAUGUAUAGACACUGAAUCUCUCUGUGUUGUUGCUGGUGUAAAGGUGUGGCAAAUUCGUGUGGACCUGCAUUUGUUGAAUCAUGAUGGAAACAUUAUUGAUGCUGCAAGUAUAGCAGCAAUAGUGGCUUUGUGUCACUUCCGUAGACCAGAUGUAUCUGUGCAAGGAGAGGAAGUAACUUUGUAUACCCCUGAGGAACGUGAUCCUGUCCCUUUGAGUAUCCAUCACAUGCCUAUCUGCGUCAGUUUUGCCUUCUUCCAGCAAGGGACCUAUUUGUUGGUGGAUCCCAGUGAACGAGAGGAACGUGUAAUGGAUGGCCUCCUAGUGAUUGCCAUGAAUAAACAUCGUGAGAUUUGUACUAUCCAGUCCAGUGGAGGGAUUAUGCUGUUAAAAGAUCAGGUUCUGAGAUGCAGUAAAAUAACUGGUGUUAAAGUAGCAGAGAUCACAGAGCUAAUUCAAAAGGCCUUGGAGAAUGACCGGAAAGUUAGGAAAGAAGGUGGAAAGUUUGGCUUUGCAGAGUCUAUACCAAAUCAAAAGAUUUCUGCCUUUAAAAUGGAAAGAGCUCCUGUUGAUACUAAUGAUGUGGAAGAGCAAGCUGAAGAAAUCAUCACGAAGGCUGACCCUCCUUCAGAUGUUAUUGCCAAACCAAUACUACGGAUGCCUGGGACUGCCCAAAUUGGGGAGGGACUAGAGAACUCCUGGGGAGACUUCGAAGAAUCUGAGAGAGAGGAGGAAGAGGAAUGUAACAGUGACGAUGCUACCACCUCAGGAGGUCAGAAAAUGGAAACGGAAGAGAUAAAUAUUGUGAGCAAAACUAAGGGUUAGUAUCUGCUUUAAAUGUAAUGUUAUUGAAAACAACUGUUCAUGUAUUCUGGUGUAUUUGAAGCUGUGUCCUCUCCUAAGCAGUAAGAAAGGGAAAACACAGGUACUUGCCAGCAGGAAUAUGCAGCUGCCAUCUGCAAAAUGACUUUAGAGCUGUUAUGGCUUAAAUCUGCCAAAUUUAAAUAUCCAAUCCCAGAAAGACAUGCUGGGAGUAGAGGGGGGAGUUUUUACAAGAGGGAAACCCUACACUGAGGAAUUAGUAGGGACAAGAAAGUAACAAAAAAAAGGUGCUUUUGGGGAAAGACCUGCUUUGUUUUGUGCCUGUUGCUAUUAUGGCAGUAUCUAAUCAAAACAAAAUACCAGACAAGAUGAGAAUGGUCUUGGUGCUCUGUCCUAUACCUACUGUUGAGAGAUGUCACAGAAGCAGCAGGAUACUAAACCAAAUUCAGCCACUCUUAUAAAAGUGUUCAGUUUAUAACAGCUAAAAUAAAGUAUCAAUUGUUUUAAAGUUAUUGUGCUCGAAGGGUGAUUUUGGCCCUUGAGUAAGUUGCACAAACAUGUCCCACUGCUUUAAAAUGUCUCUAGGUGUGUAGUAAUACUUAGACUCAGGUUCUACAGUAAUAGAAAUAACAGCUCUCUUGUUUGUUCGUAAGAUGAUGACACAAUUAUACUGUCUGACAGUGAAGAGGAGGAAGUUGUCAUUCUGGAACCAGAGGAGACACACAAGAAAACACGGUGAUUGAGCUUCACCAAGCAAUUCUUGCAAUCAGUCUCCAUUUCUGGACUGAGACUACAUCUUGAGUUGCAAGUCAGGACACCACAUCUGUUGUGGUUAUUAGCUCAUCUAUAUGAAUAGACAGUGGCCAAAUCAGUGACAGGAGUCACUGGCUCAAAAGAGCAAGUUAAAAAAAAAAAAAGA